UAAUCAGAUACAAUAAUAAUUUAUGCGCAACGUUUUUUCUUUUAAGUUGAAUGCAUGUAAAACUCAUAGUGAUACACUUGAACAACCUUUUAAUAUAAAUGCAGCAGAUCACCAUAACCCCGGAAGUUGACUUUAAACUGAAAGUAGAAAAUGGCAUAUUCUUGGUGUUGGGUGUGCUUGUUAGGUGUUUGUGCUGGUUUGGCAAUGAUUCCUUUAAUUGGCAUCGAUCAUCCGUCCUUGGUUGUAUGGAGAUUGUUCCGUCUCAGCGUACAGGCCCUCCUUGUGUAUGUGUUUGGCAGUCUGGUAUUUCGGACGAUAUGCGCCUUGUGGCGCAAGACACGGAACUUCUGGUAUAAAAACACGACCACCAUUGAUGAAAUCAAUCCAGUAAAGGUUCAGGACUAUGAGGUCAGACGUCACCUAUUGGCAGAUGACCAGCAAGAGAAAUACUUUUCUCAGGCUGAAAUAUACAAAAAGGCAAUUCUUGAACCUCGUGAAAGAGCAAAAAUGGAACGGAAGGAGAGACUCCUAGCCAACGUGUUAGGACAAAAUUACACUGGUGAAGGCAGAAAGCUGGGGUCACGCGUACCGGUUGUUGUUGCACAGGUCAUCACCUUGCCAGAACAGCCCGAAGAAGUUGACCCCACUGCAGUGACUGUUACCAUUGAUGAUGGCAAAGGACAACGACACACACGCAGAUUUAGCGAAGAGCACACUGUUCAGACUCUAAAUGACUACAUGUCCAUACUGGGUUUCGCUCCUGAGAGGUACUCUUUGUGCACUGCAUAUCCACGGAAACAGCUGCCAGAUAGGCCAAACAUGACCAUCAAAGAGCUGGACUUCAGCAGGCGAACACUUCUGUUUGUCCAGGAAAAAGAUGAUGAGUCUGAUUAAUGAGAUACUGCCUUAACCCUUUCUCACUCAGAAGCAGAAAAUGGCUUUGUGCAAACAGCAUAAAACCAGAAUGUUAAGGUUUUAUUAAGUAUCUAAGGCUUGGAAUUGAAGCAUUUAAAACUUGAAUCUAGUAAGAAAGGUCUUUAAUUAAUGUAACCUUUUAAGGGACUACAAAUGCGUACAAAUAAGUAAAGGGUUAAUAAGAUAUGACUUAAAAUGAGAGUGAUCAUCAGAUUUUCGUUUCUUACAGUAGAAUAGGAUGUCAUGCGAUUUCACUCCAUCAGGUCCUAUGAAUAAAUAGCCUGUUUAAACUUUUACAUUACAAUAUCAACCUGAUACUCAUGGAAUUUAUAAGCAGCAAUUAGCAUCCAUAUUGUACUUGAAUUGUUCCCAAUAUUUAUAUUUUGGUUUGUUUCUUUAAGUGCAUUUAUUGCGAUAUCUAUAUUUUGGUUUGUUUCUAUUAGUGCAUUUAUUGCAACAAACUUCAAUAAAUUUAGCUUAGGUCAAGACAGAAAACUUGGUUAUUCAUUCAAUAUUAGUUUAAGAUAAUCAUGUUUAAAGGUCAGUAGCAGGUUGAUUCUUGCAGGUUUUAUCAAUUUAAGUCUGAAAAGUAGACAUUUCCAAGACAUAAACUGUAACUGAAUGUAGACAUAUAGGGCAUCAGUGUGAGAAGUUUUUACUAGAAUCUUCAAAACGGUGAAUACAUAUUAUACUUGUAUGUUUGAUAUUCUAUUUUAGGUUGUGAAUUAUUCAUGUCAGCUACAGAAACAUUUUGUGUAAAUAUUUUUGAUGUUCUAUUGCAUAACAACAUUGGCCCAUUUGUUGGCUUGCACGUGCACAGAUGUUAAUGAAUCUGAAAAUUAUUGUACAUGUACACAGCUUUUUAAAGUUUUUGUGCGUGUUUUUUUUUCAUCUAGAAAGCUAUACUAAUUAUGUGUACUUAUUAUUAUGCCCCCCUUCGAAGAAGAGGGGGUUUAUUGCUUUGCUCAUGUCGGUCUGUCGGUCGGUUUGUCGGUCGGUCGGUCCGUCCACCAGGUGGUUGUCAGACGAUAACUCAAGAACGCUUGGGCCUAGGAUCAUGAAACUUCAUAGGUACAUUGAUCAUGACUCGCAGAUGACCCCUAUUGAUUUUGAGGUCACUAGGUCAAAGGUCAAGGUCACGGUGACCCGAAAUAGUAAAAUGGUUUUUGGAUGAUAACUCAAGAACGCUUAUGCCUAGGAUCAUGAAACUUGAUAGGUAGAUUGAUCAUGGCUAGCAGAUGACCUCUAUUGAUUUUAAGGUCACUAGGUCAAAGGUCAAGGUCACGGUGACCCGAAAUAGUACAAUGGUUUCCAGAUGAUAAUUCAAGAACGCUUAUGCCUAGGAUCAUGAAACUUUAUAGGUAAAUUGAUCAUGACUAGCAGAUGACCCCUUUUGAUUUUCAGGUCACUAGGUCAAAGGUCAAGGUCACGGUGACCCCAAAUAGUAAAAUGGUUACCGGAUGAUAACUCAAGAACGCUUAUGCCUAGGAUCAUGAAACUUGAUAGGUACAUUGAUCAUGACUCGCAGAUGACCCCUAUUGAUUUUGAGGUCACUAGAUCAAAGGUCAAGGUCACUGUGACCCGAAAUAGUAAAAUGGUUUCCGGAUGAUAACUCAAGAACGCUUAUGCCUAGGAUCAUGAAACUUGAUAGGUACAUUGAUCACGACUGGCAGAUGACCCCUAUUGAUUUUCAGGUCACUAGGUCAAAGGUCAAGGUCACAGUGACCCGAAAUAGUAAAAUGGUUUCCUAAUGAUAACUCAAGAAAGCUUAUGGCUAGGAUCAUUUAACUUCAAAGGUCAAGGUCACAGUGACUCGAAACAGUAAAAUAGUUUCCGGAUGAUAACUCAAGAAUGCUUACGCCAAGGAUCAUAAAACUUCAUAGGUACAUUGAUCAUGACUCGCAGAUGACCCCUAUUGAUUUUCAGGUCACUAGGUCAAAGGUCAAGGUCACAGUGACAAAAAACAUAUUUACAAAAUGGCUGUCACUACAACUGAGAGCCCAUAUGGGGGGCAUGCAUGUUUUACAAAAAGCCCUUGUUUUAUUUAAUUUAA